GUCCCUGUGGCGCAAUGAAUAACGAGUUGGACUUCUGAUCCGAAAGUUGUGAGUUUGAAUUUCACCUGGGAUG